rnacentral:rRNA from 1 species
GUAGGUGGCAAGCGUUGUCCGGAAUUAUUGGGCGUAAAGCGCGCGCAGGCGGUUCUUUAAGUCUGAUGUGAAAGCCCACGGCUCAACCGUGGAGGGUCAUUGGAAACUGGAGAACUUGAGUACAGAAGAGGAAAGCGGAAUUCCACGUGUAGCGGUGAAAUGCGUAGAGAUGUGGAGGAACACCAGUGGCGAAGGCGGCUUUCUGGUCUGUAACUGACGCUGAGGCGCGAAAGCGUGGGGAGCAAACAGGAUUAGAUACCCUGGUAGUCCACGCCGUAAACGAUGAGUGCUAAGUGUUAGGGGGUUUCCGCCCCCCUUAGUGCUGCAGCUAACGCAUUAAGCACUCCGCCUGGGAGUACGGCUGCAAGGCUG